UUUCCGUAGGUGAACUUGCGGAAGGAUCAUUAGUGAAUACAAACGCUUGGGUGUCUCUGCUUCGGCAAGCCCCUCGCACCCUUCACAUCCAUAACACCUGUGCACUGUAAUAUGACUCUCUGGGCUUCGGUCCUUGGGUCGUCUGACCUUUAUACAAACUAUUAUAUGUAACAAAUGUAGUCUUAUUAUAACAAAAUAAAACUUUCAACAACGGAUCUCUUGGCUCAC
rnacentral:misc_RNA from 1 species